CUGCACCAGUCGGGGAGCUAGCGGUGCCCUGUAACCUGCAAUCCGCUAUAGCAGGGAUGGAUUCCUACGUGAGGACGUGUUAUGUGCCGUCUGACCCUUGUAAGCGGCGUUGAAAGUCCCGGCCCCGCGCAACGAGCCCCCGUGAACCAUGUCAGGCGGGGAACCGAGCAGCAUUAAGCGGGUAAGUUCGUGUGCCGUGGGCCAGCCGGGACCGAGUUGGCUGCAAGCGUAACGGGUGUGUCGCACGUUCAGGCAAAGGUGUGCAG
rnacentral:SRP_RNA from 1 species